rnacentral:sRNA from 1 species
AGGUACCAGCAACUUCAAGGUUUCUGCCAGCCCACUGUUGUAUACACUUAUUGAGAAAACAAUGCAAAAUGUGAAACAUCCGGUUACUGGGCAAUCUCUAUAUCAGGACAGCAACUGGGCCAGCAAAGUUGAGAAACUCACUUUAGACAAUGCUGCUUUCCCUUUCCUUGCAUAUUCUGGAAUCCCAGCAGUUUCUUUCUGUUUUUGUGAGGUAAGUCUGUUCAUUUAAAUGACAAAUGGAGAGAGGCUCUCUAAAAGGAAGUGAUCUUUAUUUGGGAAUAGGGCAUUGCAGUGGGAAUGCCUGUGCUAUAGUCAACUAUGUACAUAUUCAGAGAGGUAAAGGAAAACAAGUUUUUAAAGGACAAAUGACGAGGAUUACAAAAUUAUUUUGAGGUAAUUAUUCUUGGCUACCAAGAUCAAUAACAAGGAUGACACCAGUCCAAGGUUGACAGGCAGUUGCUAGGCAGAUUUUCUCACAAGAGAAUUUUUUUGGUGCAAGGUUGCAGUGGCCUUUGUGUAAGGUUGUAGUUUUUG